GCGGCGGUGGCGCAAUCGGCUGACGCGGUGCUCUCAAACAGCACUGUCCGAAAGGACGUGUGGGUUCGAGUCCCACCCGCCGCA
rnacentral:tRNA from 1 species